AACGAACGCUGGCGGCAUGCCUAACACAUGCAAGUCGAACGAGAUCUUCGGGUCUAGUGGCGCACGGGUGCGUAACGCGUGGGAAUCUGCCCUUUGGUUCGGAAUAACAGUUGGAAACGACUGCUAAUACCGGAUGAUGACGAAAGUCCAAAGAUUUAUCGCCAGAAGGAUGAGCCUGCGUAGGAUUAGCUAGUUGGUGUGGGAAAGGCGCACCAAGGCGACGAUCCUUAGCUGGUCUGAGAGGAUGAUCAGCCACACGUGGACUGAGACACGGCCCAGACGCCUACGGGAGGCAUCAGUGGGGAAUAUUUGACAAUGGGCGAAAGCUUGAUCCAGCCAUGCCGCGUGAGUGAUGAAGGCCUUAGGGUUGGAAAGCUCUUUUACCCGGGAUGAUAAUGACAGUACCGGGAGAAUAAGCUCCGGCUAACUCCGUGCCAGCCGCCGCCGUAA
rnacentral:rRNA from 1 species